UACGGAGGGAGCGAGCGUUGUCCGAAGUUACUGGGCGUAAAGCGCGCGUAGGCGGGAAAUUAAGUGAGAAGUGAAAGGCUGGGGCUCAACCCCAUGCAGUGCUCCUCAUACUGGUUUUCUUGAGGGUGGUAGAGAGAAGUGGAAUGGCUGGUGUAGCGGUGAAAUGCGUAGAUAUCAGGAGGAACACCGGUGGCGAAGGCGGGUCUCUGGGCCGAUACUGACGCUGAGGUGCGAAAGCGUGGGGAGCAAACAGG
rnacentral:rRNA from 1 species